CAUUGCCUUGUUUGUUACUAUAUAUUUAGAUGGCAGAGCCCACAUAGCAAAAGACUCCGGGGCGGAUCCGCCUUAAAGUCACCUGGUCCUCUGUUCUCUCAGAUUCAAUGCAGCCAUACGCGCGUUUUUAAACUGUCGCAGUCACUAUCAUCUCCUCACACAGUUGAGACGCUGGAGCCGGCUGGUCGGUGAAGACGGAACACGUUUACAGCUCGUUCUAGUGCCACUGGUCUGUUUUGGAGUUCUUCAUCUUCUCAAUUCAUCUUUUCCAAACAAACUGAUUUCCUCCCUGGCAACUAUUACAUGGAACAUCCUUUCCCACACGUUACAUGAUGAUGUUGGGAGGAGGAUCAACUGGAAGGGCAUGAAUGGGAAAAAAUAUUUUAAUCAGAUGAUUUAAUUGCCCUGAAACUUCGUAGCCCCGGGGGCUUGACGGGGAACGACCAGGGGGGAACAGGGGACGGCCUGGCUUCCGCCUGGAAGGCCUGCUGGAAGACCGGCUGAGUGGCCCCAUGGAGGGCGGGCUAAGUCGCCGGCUGGGAGACUGGAUUGGACGCCGGCUGUUGGACCGCACUGGAUGCCGGCUGCGCUGGCUUGGAUGCCAGCUGCUGGAUCAGACUGGAAGCCGGCACGGACUGGAUGCCGCACCGGACUGGACGCAAGCUGCUGCCGGCUGGUGUGCCGGCAGACUAGGAGCUCUAGCGGAUGCCAGCUGCGGAGGCAACAAGGCGUUUGGCCGGCUGCAGAGAAGCGACAGAGGGUCCCGCCAGCUUCGCACUGGAGGAGUCGGACGGGGAGUCCCACGACACCCUUCUCCCAUGCUUUCCACGGAGGCAGGGAGUGGCAGAACCAGCAGAUGAAGAGCUGGACGGAAAAGUGAGCGUGAGGGUCCCUGUGGUCAGAAAACCAUCCUCCUGGAUGGUGUCUAGGCAGGAAUCAGCAGAGACUCUAGGAUUCCUGAAGGAAAGGCCCUUAACCAGGUCCCUGAAAGACCCCUGGAUCAGCCUGUCCCGUUCAUCCGGUGGAGGAGGGUUGAUGAGACCCGCAAGAAAAUAUGCAUUCCAGAGGUCCUCCGGAAGAGAACAACGCCUCGUCAUUGAUUCCUUGGCAUACUCCUCCAGAGUCCGAUUGCCCUGAGGAAUAACAGGACAAUUGCCCUUCAGGACAUCGGUGGUGAUUGACUGCCACCAAGCAAGAGACGGACUGCUGCCUGCUGGGUUCAUCGAUGGUCGGUUCAUUCUGUCACAAAACGGAUGUGAUUGUAGGAGACAGAACCCAAAUGCAGGGCAGCGAGUUAACAGACUUUAUUUACUCAAAUAUAAGAAAACAAUACCCACGAGGGGGUAAAAAUAACAGGAACAAAAUAAACCAAAACGAAGAGGCUGGGAAUAAAUAAUCCAAUACGUACAGGUAUAACACAACAUGAACCAGAAUAAACAAUGAACCGACACAGGUCUAGGAAAACACAGGGCUUAAGGGAAACACAAACGAAGGAUAAUAACACAGGGAAAGCGACGGGCAGGUGACAAGAUUAAACAUAAAAAGGAGACAGGUGAGGGAGAUGAAACACUAAUGGGAGACUAACGGAGAAACAAGGGGGCGGAGCUACACUGAAGACACGCACUGAAUGUGUAAACAAGACAGUUUUUUGAUUCACUGACGUGGUGAGGCAUCUCGGACUGGUCGCUCCGUCCUUCUCACAAAGUCAGGUGGAAGUAAUCUACGCCUAAAAAUACAAGAAAAGUAGCUUUAAUACUGUUUCGGCAAACAUUCAAACAUUUAUAAACAAAGAGAGAAUUUGUUCAACUAACCAAUCUUGACAAGAUGGUGAAGCAGUUGUGGGAGCCUUGGAUGAUAAUUUUGCUCCACCCGUCCUCUCCUCUUGUGGAAAACCUGUUGAGAACCAAUCAGAGUAGAUACAUGAAACUGUUCAUCCAAUGAUCGAUAAAUCUAUAAAACAAAUGUAAUAAGUUACCAAUGUUGUUCCUCCUGGACUGAUUCCUUGCCUCAGACGCUCGAGAUGCCAUCACUCUGAAGCUUAUGGUAGAAUGAUGAUAGCAAUCUUAAGCUUGUUUCUACAGAUAUUUGAGCUGUGUAUAAAUCCAGAGAAUUGUUCAACUCACUCAGAUGAAGAAGGUGCUUGUUUUCACCACACGCGACAGUCACUCUUCUGACUGAAGACUCUCCUUACUGAACUCUCUGCUGUUGAAAACAAAUAACAUUACUCGGUCAAUAUCAAAAUGUAAACAAAAUGAUUUUAUGUAGAAACCUGUUAAUAACAAACUCAUAAAAGUAACUUUAACUGUUUUUACACAGGCAGAGUCACACAUUUAAGAGCAUUUAUCGUUUUGGUCAAAUAAUGUAUAACUCACGAUUCUCGAAUCUCCUCUGGCUGAGGGCUCAGGAACCAAGGCAUCCAUCACGGGGCGAUCCAUAUUAGCCCAUGACGGAAUGACCACCUCCGACGCAUCAUAUUCGGUUUCAUCAACGAGAUCCGCCCACAAAGUAAUGGGCUGGAUGCUGUCGAAGUCAUUGAAAGAGGCGACAGUAGUAGUCAUCGUGAUUUGGUCCACGGCGUUGUGCAUCCGAACAAGUCGAUGCAGUUAAACUGUGGAGAUGUCCUCCGUUCCGGGAGGAGUCAACAAAUAAGUCACCUUUCGGUUACUCUCCGGUCUCACUUCCUUCUCGCUAGAUCCAAAUACCAACACAAAACACGCACGAAUCGCAAAGAGAAGAACACACACUGGAAGAGCCUUGAUCUCGCAGAAGUCAAAACACUCUCGUAGACGCUGAACACAAACCAACGAAGAAUGAUGCGAGGCAGCAUCUUAUAUAGAGGCAGCUGGCGCUCCAUGACGUCAUAAACGCAUCAAUAUGAGUUACCCAAGCAGGCCCGUGGCUUUAUAAAAAUACAAAUAUUGUGAACGUGUGUGUAUAUAUAUAUAUAUAUAUAUAUAUAUAUAUAUAGAUAAACUAUUAUUUAUAAUAAUUUAUUCAAUAAUAAUAUUAAAACAUAUUACAAAAUAUAUAAUAGACAUCCCAGAUACCAAAUGCAAAAGGAGAUGUAAGGCAGAACAUUAAGAGACUGACAGCCUCAAGCAUAACUAAUAUUAUUGCUUCUUUCCUAUAUAAUAAACCAACCGGAUUGGACUCUGUGAGUCCUGAGUGUAGUGAUGAGUCUUCAUGGCUUUAGAACUGCUUUCUUCAUGUGAUGUGCAAUUAAAAUGUGCUUUGAAAAAAAUGUGAUCAUAAUAGAGACGUAUUAUUCACACACUUUGUUAUAGUGUAUUAUUGUAGAAAAAAUUUACACUUGUGAUAAUAUUUUAGUUAUUCAGGAUAUUUUAGUAUUUGUGCACCUCAAAUAAAGACACUGAAAAGGUAAACUGUUGUAUUGUAACAAAAUAAAUUGGAUUGAAAAGACAGAACAAUAAUUUAGGGGCAGUGGUUCUCAAACUUUUUAAUUCAAGUACUACCACCUUUUGUAAAAUUAGAUGUUACAACUACCACCUAAUAAACACUCAAAUUAG